rnacentral:lncRNA from 1 species
UUUUGGCAAGUUCUCGCCUUGGAGUUGCAUACGGACCUUUAUUAGAUCUAAAGGGUGAGUGGAGCAACCAGCUACUAUUGAUGCUACACCACCUUCAACAAAACUUUUUGCACCCAUGAUUUGGUACGUAAGUAACUACUCCCUUUUUUUAAUUGCUGCUGCUGUUAUUGAAAAAGAAUGAAUGAAAUAUCAGGAAUAGGAAGCAAAAAUUGCUCUGUUUGGGGAGGAUUUUGGAGAGUUUUAAAGCCAGUUAGGGGUUAAGUCACUGGAGACGAGAAGAUGGGAGUGGAGGGAAAAAGCAAUGGAAGAAGAGUGAGGAACAGUAGGCCUUUGAGACAUGUGCUAGUGAAUAUUAAGCAAUGAAUUCAAAGAAUGAGUUUCUUAGAGGGGUUCAUGGAGAAUAUAUAUAGUGUGGGUGGAGAAUGACGGAGAGGGAAGGGAGUGUGGCGAUGAAGGAGAAUAGGAAGAUACAUCAUACGUGUAAAUGGGAAUUCAGACGCGGUUCUUGGGGUCCAUGUUUUGGUGCUGGAUGGAUGCCCUAAGACCCGACCCAAUUUUUUUCCCCUUGUAAAUUAAUUAUAGUUGUUGGCUUCCUCUGUUUGACUUUGACGCUACUUUAGGUUGUUUCUCUAAUUUAUUUUCCCACCUUCUGGGAGCAGCAGACUGCAAAAGAUUUGUGAUU